rnacentral:rRNA from 1 species
GCCGCGAGGCAGAGCAAACCCCUAAAAGCCGUCCCAGUUCGGAUCGCAGGCUGCAACCCGCCUGCGUGAAGUCGGAAUCGCUAGUAAUCGCGGAUCAGCAUGCCGCGGUGAAUACGUUCCCGGGCCUUGUACACACCGCCCGUCACACCAUGAGAGUCGGGAACACCCGAAGUCCGUAGCCUAACUUUAACGAGAGGGCGCGGCCGAAGGUGGGUUCGAUAAUUGGGGUGAAGUCGUAACAAGGUACC